GACGAACGCUGGCGGCGUGCUUAACACAUGCAAGUCGAACGGAAAGGCCCUGCUUUUGUGGGGUGCUCGAGUGGCGAACGGGUGAGUAACACGUGAGUAACCUGCCCUUGACUUUGGGAUAACUUCAGGAAACUGGGGCUAAUACCGGAUAGGAGCUCCUGCUGCAUGGUGGGGGUUGGAAAGUUUCGGCGGUUGGGGAUGGACUGGCGGCUUAUCAGCUUGUUGGUGGGGUAGUGGCUUACCAAGGCUUUGACGGGUAGCCGGCCUGAGAGGGUGACCGGCCAAAUUGGGACUGAGAUAAGGCCCAGACUCCGACGGGAGGCAGCAGUGGGGAAUAUUGCAAAAUGGGCGGAAGCAUGAUGCAGCAAAGCCGCGUGGGGGAUGACGGCCUUCGGGUUGGAAACCGCUUUCGCCUGUGACGAAGCGUGAGUGACGGUAAUGGGUAAAGAAGCACCGGCUAACUACGUG
rnacentral:rRNA from 1 species